AUACUCAGCGGUUGCCAGAUAUUUUGACAUUCGGUAUGCUGGUACUGGAGCCUUUUCGAAAAAGAUUUCUUCUUUUUGGAAUUCCCGCCGAAGCACAGUCCCAGGUACGGUGCCAUAAUGGUUUUACUAAUUGUCGGCCACCUCCAGCCGCUUGCCGCGGUGAGUGGGCCACGCGGUGGUCACGGACUGGUCUGAGGAGUCCUGCAGUCAUUAUUGCACCGGACCUCAUCACUUAUUUAAACCUGCCUUCCCUCUUCGGGGAUCCCACUUUGUA
rnacentral:lncRNA from 1 species